rfam:Eubacterium sp. CAG:251 genomic scaffold, scf7
GUCGGUGUUGAUUACUUUGAGGGUCCACCCGUUCCCAUCCCGAACACGGUAGUUAAGCUCAAACGUGCCGAAAAUACUCGGAGGGCAGCCUCCCGGAAAAAUAGGUAAUGCCGACA